UACGUAGGGGGCGAGCGUUGUCCGGAUUCAUUGGCGUAAAGCGCGCGUAGGCGGCUCGACAAGUCGGCCGUGAAAUCUCCAGGCUCAACUUGGAGGGUCGGGCGAGACUGUCGGGCUCGAGGUGGGCAGAGGCAGUGGAAUUCCGGGUGUAGUGGUGGAAUGCGUAGAGAGUCCGGAGGAACACCAGUGGCGAAGGCGGCUGGCCUGGGCCUGGCCUGACGCUGAGGCGGCGAAAGCGUGGGAGCGAGUCCGG
rnacentral:rRNA from 1 species